rnacentral:antisense_RNA from 1 species
CCCUAUCUACCACUUUUAUAAGUACAUCAUCAAAUGAUUCCUUAGAUAAUAU